AUUACCUUGGCAGAUUAGUGCUUUAAAUUUAGAAUUUAAAUAAACAUAAUUUUAUUUAUGUAGGUAAUA
rnacentral:tRNA from 1 species